rnacentral:rRNA from 1 species
CUAGUUGUGACCGUAAACGAUGCCAACCAGCGAUUCGGCGACGUUCUUUUUAUGACUCGCUGAGCAGCUUCCGGGAAACCAAAGUGUUUCGGUUCCGGGGGAAGUAUGGUUGCAAAGCUGAAACUUAAAGGAAUUGACGGAAGGGCACCACCAGGAGUGGAGCAUGCGGCUUAAUUUGACUCAACACGGGAAAACUCACCCGUCCCGAACACUGUGAGGAUUGACAGAUCAAGAGCUCUUUCUUGAUUCAGUGGGUAGUGGUGCAUGGCCGUUCUUAGUUGGUGGAGCGAUUUGUCUGGCUAAUUCCGAUAACGAACGAGACUCUGGCCUACUAACUAGCGGCGGUAUUCAUGACUUCCGUGCCUGCGGAGUCGUGCGCGGUUGGCUGCGCAUCAGUCGCCGCGUACGCGCUUCCUGGCCGGGAGCACCAGUACUGGCAGCCGCUUCUUAGAGGGACCAGCGACACUUUCGCAAGCCGCACGAGAAAGAGCAAUAACAGGUCUGUGAUGCCCUUAGAUGGACGGGGCUGCACGCGUGCUACACUGACGGCGUCAGCGUGCGUUCAAGCCUGGCCUGGCAAGGUCGGGAAAUCGGUUGAAACGUUCUCGUGACUGGGACAGGGAAUUGCAAUUAUUUCCCUCGAACGAGGAAUUCCCAGUAAGCGCGAGUCAUCAGCUUGCGUUGAUUA